CGAAAAAUCUGAUUUUUUUAUUAUCCGUUAAAUAAAUCCGCCGUAUUUCAUUCUAUAUACUGUAAUAACGUGGUAUCUUUAACAUAGAAGUAAAAUGUACUUUGGAGGGAAAGAGACAGAAAUGAUGUGACAAAUCAUCUUGUAGCGUUGUCUCUUUCUGACACCUCGUUAUUUUCGAUAGCGUGACAUAUUAGUUGUCAUCUGUAUGACGUAGGGUGAAGUGCUAUCUGUUUUCACAAACAACGUGACAUCACAACUAUACCACACUAUCAUUGCAAAGGUAAGCUACAAUCAAAUGUUUAAUUUUAUUUCUAAAAUGUAACAAAGGUAUUUAACUAGUUCUUCCA
rnacentral:lncRNA from 1 species